UACGUAGGGCGCAAGCGUUGUCCGGAAUUAUUGGGCGUAAAGAGCUCGUAGGCGGUCUGUCGCGUCUGCCGUGAAAACCCGAGGCUUAACCUCGGGCUGGCGGUGGAUACGGGCAGACUAGAGGUAGGUAGGGGAGAAUGGAAUUCCCGGUGUAGCGGUGAAAUGCGCAGAUAUCGGGAGGAACACCGAUGGCGAAGGCAGGUCUCUGGGCCACUACUGACGCUGAGAAGCGAAAGCAUGGGGAGCGAACAGG
rnacentral:rRNA from 1 species